rnacentral:rRNA from 1 species
CCUACGGGGGGCAGCAGUAGGGAAUCUUCCGCAAUGGACGAAAGUCUGACGGAGCAACGCCGCGUGAGUGAUGAAGGUUUUCGGAUCGUAAAGCUCUGUUGCCAGGGAAGAACAGCCAAGAGAGUAACUGCUCUUGGAAUGACGGUACCUGAGAAGAAAGCCCCGGCUAACUACGUGCCAGCAGCCGCGGUAAUACGUAGGGGGCAAGCGUUGUCCGGAAUUAUUGGGCGUAAAGCGUGCGUAGGCGGUUCGUUAAGUCUGCUGUGAAAGCCCCGGGCUCAACCUGGGAAUGGCAGUGGAUACUGGCGAGCUAGAGUGUGAUAGAGGAUGGUGGAAUUCCCGGUGUAGCGGUGAAAUGCGUAGAGAUCGGGAGGAACAUCAGUGGCGAAGGCGGCCAUCUGGAUCAACACUGACGCUGAGGCACGAAAGCGUGGGGAGCA